rnacentral:rRNA from 1 species
CAACCUGCCGUCUACUCUNGGACAGCCUUCUGAAAGGAAGAUUAAUACAAGAUGGCAUCAUGAGUCCGCAUGUUCACAUGAUUAAAGGUAUUCCGGUAGACGAUGGGGAUGCGUUCCAUUAGAUAGUAGGCGGGGUAACGGCCCACCUAGUCUUCGAUGGAUAGGGGUUCUGAGAGGAAGGUCCCCCACAUUGGAACUGAGACACGGUCCAAACUCCUACGGGAGGCAGCAGUGAGGAAUAUUGGUCAAUGGGCGAGAGCCUGAACCAGCCAAGUAGCGUGAAGGAUGACNNNCCUAUGGGUUGUAAACUUCUUUUAUAAAGGAAUAAAGUCGGGUAUGGAUACCCGUUUGCAUGUACCUUAUGAAUAAGGAUCGGCUAACUCCGUGCCAGCAGCCGCGGUAAUACGGAGGAUCCGAGCGUUAUCCGGAUUUAUUGGGUUUAAAGGGAGCGUAGAUGGAUGUUUAAGUCAGUUGUGAAAGUUUGCGGCUCAACCGUAAAAUUGCAGUUGAUACUGGAUAUCUUGAGUGCAGUUGAGGCAGGCGGAAUUCGUGGUGUAGCGGUGAAAUGCUUAGAUAUCACGAAGAACUCCGAUUG